rfam:Coniophora puteana RWD-64-598 SS2 unplaced genomic scaffold CONPTscaffold_14, whole genome shotgun sequence.
GGCGCUAUAGUGUAGUGGUUAUCACUCAGGAUUCUGAUCGGAGAUUCCUGUAACCCAGGUUCGAGCCCUGGUAGCGCCU